UACAGAGAUGGCAACCGUUGUUCGGAAUCACUGGGCUUAAAGAGCACGUAGGCGGGUACGUAAGUUGAUUGUGAAAGCCCAUGGCUUACCCAUGGAAUUGCAGUCAAAACUGCGUGUCUUGAGUGCAGGAGGGGAGAGUGGAACUCCUAGUGGAGCGGUGAAAUGCGUUGAUAUUAGGAGGAACGCCGGAGGCGAAAGCGACUCUCUGGCCUGCAACUGACGCUGAGGUGCGAAAGCUAGGGGAGCAAACGGG
rnacentral:misc_RNA from 1 species